AUGGCGUCCCGAGCCCUCCUCUUGGUGCUCUCGGGGGUCUUCUCCCCUACCGAGACCCGGACGGGUUUCCACUCCCUGAGGUAUUUCAACACCGCCGUGUCCCAGCCCGACCGCGGGGAGCCCCGGUACAUCAUUGUCGGCUACGUGGACGACACGCAGUUCGUGAGUUUCGACAGCGACGCCGCGAGUCCAAGGAUGGAGCCGCGGGCGCAGUGGGUGAAGCAGGAGGGGCCAGAUUAUUGGGACGAGCAGACACGGAUCUGCAAGGGGAACGCACAGACUUUUCGAGUGAGCCUGCGGACCCUGCGUGGCUACUAUAACCAGAGCGAGGCCGGGUCUCACAUCCUCCAGGUGAUGCCUGGCUGCGACGUGGGGCCGGACGGGCGCCUCCUCCGCGGGUAUGAACAGCACGCCUACGACGGCGCCGAUUACAUUGCCCUGAACGAGGACCUGAGUUCUUGGACCGCGGCGGACACGGCGGCUCGGAUCACCCAGCGCAAGUGGGAGAAAGCCCCUGUGUCAAAGCGACACAAGGAGUAGCUGGAGGGGGAGUGUGUGGAGUGGCUGCUCAGACACCUGGAGAACGGGAAGGAGACGCUGCAGCGCGCGGAUCCCCCAAAGACACAUGUGACCCACCACCCCCACCCUGAUGGGGACGUCACCCUGAGGUGCUGGGCCCUGGGCUUUUAUCCUGCGGAGAUCACACUGACCUGGCGGCGAGAUGGGGAGGACCAAACUCAGGACAUGGAGCUUGUGGAGACCAGGCCUUCAGGGGAUGGAACCUUCCAGAAGUGGGCAGCUGUGGUGGUGCCUUCUGGAGAGGAGCAGAGAUACAUGUGCCAUGUGCAGCACAAGGGGCUGCCAGAGCCCCGCACCCUGAGAUGGGAACCAUCUUCCCAGACCACAAUCCUCAUCGUGGGAAUCACUGCUGGCCUGAAUCUGGUUCUCUUUGGAGCUGUGGUCACUGGAACUCUGAUGUGGAGGAAGAAGAUUACAGGUGGAAAAGGAGGGAGCUACUCUCAGGCUGCCAUAAGUGACAACAAUGCCGAAGGCUCUGAUACUCUUUCAUGGCUUGUAAAGAUGACACUUUGGGGGCCCUUAUAUGUGGUUGGGCAUGGGGAGCAGAGGGCUGGGCUAUGGGGAUUCUUUGA